rnacentral:rRNA from 1 species
UACAGAGGGGGCUAGCGUUGUUCGGAAUUACUGGGCGUAAAGCGCGCGCAGGCGGUCUUCCAAGUCAGUGGUGAAAGCCUGGAGCUCAACUCCAGAACUGCCAUUGAAACUGUUAGACUUGAGUACGAGAGAGGUGAGUGGAAUUCCCAGUGUAGAGGUGAAAUUCGUAGAUAUUGGGAAGAACACCAGUGGCGAAGGCGGCUCACUGGCUCGUAACUGACGCUCAGGCGCGACAGCGUGGGGAUCAAAC